UACGAAGGGGGCGAGCGUUGUUCGGAUUUACUGGGCGUAAAGGGCGCGUAGGCGGCCCCUCAAGUCAGGCGUGAAAGCCCCGGGCUCAACCUGGGAGGUGCGCCUGGGACUGAGGGGCUGGAGUUCGGGAGAGGAGCGUGGAAUUCCCAGUGUAGAGGUGAAAUUCGUAGAUAUUGGGAAGAACACCGGUGGCGAAGGCGGCGCUCUGGACCGAGACUGACGCUGAGGCGCGAAAGCGUGGGGAGCGAACAGG
rnacentral:rRNA from 1 species